rnacentral:tRNA from 1 species
GAGGGUAUAGCUCAGUGGUAGAGUGUGUGCUUAGCAUGUAAAAGGUCCUGGGUUCAGUCCCCAGUACCUCCA